UUGUUGUAGUUAUUAUUGUUGUUGUUAUUGAUGUUGUUGUUGUUGGAUAGGACAGAGAGAAAUGGAGAGAGGAAGGGAAGACAGAGGGGGAGAGAAAGGCAGACACCUGCAGACCUUCUUCACCGCCUGUGAAGCGACUCCCCUGCAGGUGGGGGCUCGAACCGGGAUCCUUAACACCAGUCUUUGAGCUUUGUGCCACCUGCGCUUAACACGCACCACCAGACUCCCUAUCCUUUUUCUGGCUUAUCUCACUUAACACAAUUCCUUCAAGCUCCAUCCAAAAUGAGAUGAAGAAGGCAAUUCCAUCAUUUCUAAUAGCUGAGUAGUAUCCCAUUGUGUAUCUAGACCACAACUUUCUCAGCCACUCGUCUGUCAUUGGACACCUGGGUUACUUCCAAGUUCGCUCUGAGGUUCCACAUUGUGCUGCUAUGAACAUGGGUGUGCAUCACAUGUCUGUUUCUGUCCUCACACCGCUGCCUUUCCCUUCAGCCCAGAGAUGGAAAAUUCCAGAGACUAGGGCUUGUUCUUAGCGUCUCUGAGGCAAAUGGCCCUUGCAUGGGGCUUCGAUCUGGGAACCACAGGGAAGCAGCCCCAGCCUCAGGUCUACACAGGGGCUCUGCACGGGGUCUUGAACCUGCCCUUGAGGCCUGUUGGGGGACCCUGGGAGCAUCUCCUGCUAACUCUGCCUCCUCGCCUGUGUUGUGGAGGCCUUGGCAUGAUCUAUUAGCUUCUAACAAGCUCCUCAAAACCUCAUGCAGUCUCCAGGGGGAUCAUUAGGAGCGGAAGGGGAGGGAAGAAGCUGACUCUGAGAAUGAAGCCAGUGAAAUCCCUAAGUGCCGAGCUCCUCAGGCCUCUGAAAUUGUGUCCCCUCUUACAGAGUGGGCACCUUCCUUCCAAGGCCACGGCCACCAGCCCUUACACUCCCGCAAGCCCUGACCCAGAUGCCGAGCCCCUCAUGAACCCCCGCUGUCCUUCACUGCUGGUGGGAUCAAGCCACCAAGUUACAACUGUGGGUCUCCACUGCUGUUGCCCCUCAGGGGCUGGAACAGCAGCAGGGAAGCCCCUCACACUGACAGCAGGGGUGGGGGCAGAGAGCUGGCCGGGUGACUAAGGAGAAAAUCUACACUCCUGGUGGUCAGGAGGUAUGACUGUAUUGCAAGAGCCUUUUCACAUCGUUCUCGUGAUACAUUAGGGAAAAGGGUGACUAAUUCCCUCAGAAAUCAGGAUUUAUUCAGAAACUACAGGGCCACAGAGCAGAGCUCAGCUCAGCUGGGGGUGAAGUAGGGAUUAGGCCCAGGACUUUAGACCCUCAGGGCAUGGGAAUCACUUUGCAUAACCACUGUGCUCUCUCUCCCUCCACCCUAUUUUAUCUCUUGGCCGCGAGUGAGUGAUUAUAAAGUCUAUUUAUAGUUAAAACUAACUAAAUAAAUAAAACCGUUAACUUCCCAAACUGUGAACUCUUACUACCUUACUUAGACACAAAUCAAUCCAGGCAAGUGAGACUAGAGGACUGAAAAGUAUUGAGAGAGGGACCUCAUAUCACACCUAAUACAAUAGUGAAAUCAAGAAGAAGCAAAAUAUUGGAGAAAUGAACCAGGACAAAAGUCCAGUAAAAGUCCCCCAAACUAAAUGAAGAAAUAAUAUAUCUUUUAUUCUUUAAGUAAGAAGAGGGUGGGGACUGGGCAGUGACACACUGGGCUAAGCUCACACAGCAGUGAACCCAAAGGGCCCGUGGAAGGAUCCAGGUUUGAGCUCCCAUUCCCCACCUGCAGGGGGUCUGCUUUAUAAGUGGUCAAGCAGGUCUGCAGGUGUUUCCCUUUCUCCCUCUUUAUCUCCUUCCCUCUCAAUUUCUGUCAUAUAACAAAAAAAGCCACAGGAGCAGUGGAUUUGUAGUGCAGGCAUGGAGCCCCAGUGAUAACCCUGGAAAAAAAAAGAAAAGAGAAGAAAGAAAGAAAGAAAGAAAGAAGACUGGCUAGAAAGCUGCCCUGGAUGGUAUGUCUGCUUGAUCAUGAGUACAACCCGGGUUUGAGCCCAACCCCCACCCAUUAGGGGAAUCUUAGAUGCAGUAGUCUUAGUCUCAGUCUCUCUUUCUCUCCCUCUCCCCCCCCUCUCUCUCUCCAUAUAUAUAUACCCCCAUCUCUCUAUUUCAAAAAGUUAACCGGAAUUGGUGAAGCCCCAGAAACAACAACAACAGCGACAUGGUUAGAAGACAGAGAUACUGGGAGCUAGCUCAUCUGGUGAAGCCCACUCCUUCCCAUGCACCAGGGCCUGAAUUUGAGCCCUGGCACCACAUGGGAACACCAUAGACGGCACCGGGGAAGCUCUAGGGAUGGUGCAACACCACCACCCGGCCCCAAGACACAGAUGCCCAUAUAUAUCUAAAGUUAAACGAAUGAAGAAGUUGACCUGGUAACAGAGGUAUCAUGCAUGCUCAAGGCCUGCCUUCACAUUCAAAAUAAUAAAGAGAAAAUCAGUUAUUAAGAGAAAGAGAGACAGAGAGUCAUAUGUACACUGCUCCCUCCACCAGAUGAAGCUGCAGUAGUCCGACACCCAUCCACAAUCCAGGAAGAGAAUUCUCACCAGCAACCCAGCCAGCUAGCAGCAAGAUCUAGACUCCAGCCUCCACUGAGAAAUAAAAUUCUGCCAUGUAAGCUGCCCGGCCCAGGCGGUCCAGAUUGGUGGCAGCCUGGGCUAACAGAACCCCAGCCAGUCACUGGCUCGCAGCUCACCCUUGUGUCAUAUUGGGGGGCCAUCUUCUCCUGGAUGCCACAGAGUGGCAGACUCCCUCUCCCUGCUCAGGGCUAAGGGAACAGGGCCACUGAGAAAUUAAAUCACACAGUAAAGCCACACAGCAAGUUUUGCAAAAUCUGGGCGACUGGUGCCAGUAGGGAACGUGAGAAUAUCAAAUUGCUCUUGGCACACAAACAGGCUUUCUAAGCAUGAGACAAACCUCAGCAAGGGAGAAAAAUGAAAAAGUUCGCCUCCAAGCGGGGAGGGGGAGUGAAGUCUCUAGGAUGGAAAAACACCAUGCAUAUAAAAAAGAAAGAAAGGAAGAAAGAAAGAAAGGAAGGAAAGGCUUGCUGGGAAAACUCUGGCAGCAUGCAGCUAGAGACCAAGGGCUGAUUUCAUAGAUAACUUUUCAUCUGCACAUUCAAAGGUCUAUGAAAAAUAUGUCCACUUAAAUACUUUAUUCAGAGUCCUCAGGAAUCAAGAAGAGAAAGAGGCAGCCAGCAGAAUAAAGGAACGGAGGCUUGUGAAAAGAGGUCAGAGAUGAAAAAUAAGUAUGUGGAAAAUACUCAGAAGCUCUCAAAUGAAAUAAAUACAGAUUGAAACCA